AGAUUUUUCUCCUCCCUUGAGCUCAACUCAGCCACAUGGUUAAUAAUAAUGAGAUGAUCGCCCGAGACUUCAAAUAAGAGGUACUUACCAAAGAUUCAAAUGCUGUUUCGGUUUGUUGGGAUGGAUCAUCUGCUUCUCCACUUCCUCCUGUCUACCCUAAACUGUAUAAGUUGGCUGAAUAGAUACUUCUACAACCUAUAUUUAUUCAUGUUGAGCUACAUAUGGUGUCAUCUUACGACGUCCAAGUUCAAACCAUAUCAACUCUGCUCCAAAAGGUGAUAACCCUUGCAAGAAAUUCUAUAGAUCCCUCAAAAAUCAAUUCAACAAAGAUUGCAAAUUUUUUUAGUGAGUCAAUGAACCUCGUGAUGCAACAUUGGAACAACAUGUUGAAGGAAAUAAUCUAAAGCUACGAUUAAGAAGAAUCUUGAAUACUUGAAAUGUUUUAUGAAGACUUUGCUCUUAUUUGAUUUGUGAUUGCAGUAUUUCUAUUAUUGUUGUUAGCGUUGCAUUUGUUUUUAAAAUGUUAUUGUAAUUUGGAAUAUGAAAUGCACU